GUAUGACUCUCGGCAAUGGAUAUCUUGGCUCUUGCAUCGAUGAAGAGCGCAGCGAAAUGCGAUACGUGGUGUGAAUUGCAGAAUCCCGUGAACCAUCGAGUUUUUGAACGCAAGUUGCGCCCGAGGCCAAUUGGCUAAGGGCACGUCCGCCUGGGCGUCAAGC
rnacentral:rRNA from 3 species